rnacentral:rRNA from 1 species
CCUACGGGUGGCAGCAGUGGGGAAUAUUGCACAAUGGGGGAACCCCUGAUGCAGCGACGCCGCGUGAGUGAAGAAGUAUCUCGGUACGUAAAGCUCUAUCAGCAGGGAAGAAAAUGACGGUACCUGACUAAGAAGCCCCGGCUAACUACGUGCCAGCAGCCGCGGUAAUACGUAGGGGGCAAGCGUUAUCCGGAUUUACUGGGGGUAAAGGGAGCGUAGACGGCAGCACAAGUCUGGAGUGAAAUCCCGGGGCUUAACCCCGGAACUGCUUUGGAAACUGUGCGGCUGGAGUGCAGGAGGGGUAAGCGGAAUGCCUAGUGUAGCGGUGAAAUGCGUAGAUAGUAGGAGGACCACCGGUGGCGAAGGCGGCUUACUGGACUGUAACUGACGUUGAGGCUCGAAAGCGUGGGGAGCAAACAGGAUUAGAGACCCCGGUAGUC